CACGUAGGCGGCUUUCUAAGUCAGAGGUGAAAUCCUGGAGCUCAACUCCAGAACUGCCUUUGAUACUGGAGAGCUUGAGUCCGGGAGAGGUGAGUGGAACUGCGAGUGUAGAGGUGAAAUUCGUAGAUAUUCGCAAGAACACCAGUGGCGAAGGCGGCUCACUGGCCCGGUACUGACGCUGAGGUGCGAAAGCGUGGGAGCAAACAGGAUUAGAUACCCUGGUAGUCCACGCCGUAAACGAUGGAUGCUAGCCGUUGUCGGGUUUACUCGUCAGUGGCGCAGCUAACGCAUUAAGCAUCCCGCCUGGGGAGUACGGUCGCAAGAUUAAA
rnacentral:rRNA from 1 species